rnacentral:rRNA from 1 species
UACGUAGGGGGCAAGCGUUGUCCGGAUUUAUUGGGCGUAAAACGCUCGUAGGUGGCCACGUCAAGUCGGAUGUGAAAUCUCCCGGCUCAACUGGGAGGGGUCAUUCGAUACUGGCGGGCUCGAGGCCGGUAGGGGGAAGCGGAAGUUCCGGGUGUAGUGGUGGAAGUGCGUAGAUAUCCGGAGGAACACCAGUGGCGAAGGCGG